rnacentral:lncRNA from 1 species
UCGUUAUCCUUAAAAAGCAAAAACAUCUUCAGUUCCAUUAAAGCUAAGAUUAGUAUGUUAACAGGGUUGGUUUCUGUCUGAGUCCAGAAUUCUACAAACAGGCCACGUAUAACACGAUUUCAUUUCUUCCCCCUUCCCUUAUGAGAUAAGGAAGUCGACUGAAAGUUUGUUGAUUUCAUUAGUCAUCAACUCAUCAUUGCAGCUUUGAACUUCCUACAACUUUAACCAACGCAGACACCCCCCCCCCCUUUUACCCAUUCACUGAAUAAACAGAGUUAGGUGACUAUGAAGUCUAGAAAUUGGACCCAACCUAUGAGUAUCUGGCCUGUUCUAAGUGGCACAACCCACAGCUUGUUGUGACGGCUGGGGUCUGGUCUGGUACCAACCAGAA